AUGCCUGGAUCUUUGAAUGACAUCAAUGUUGUCAACCGGUCACCACUGAUGAAUAAGAUUGCAAACGGUGAGUUGCCACCGGUGCAGUUUAUAGCAAAUGGCCGUACGUACAACUAUGGCUAUUAUCUAGUGGAUGGCAUCUAUCCAAAGUGGCAAAUCUUCGUGAAGCCGUUGAAAAAGCCGGAAGGUAAGAAAAAUCUUGAUUUCCACAAUGCUCAGGCGGCGGCUAGAAAAGAUAUGGAGAGAGCAUUUGAGAUUUUGCAAGCCCAAUUUGCUAUUGUGAGAGGACCGACUAGAUUUUGGGAUCAAAAAAUGCUUUGGUACAUCAUGCACGCUUGUGUGAUCAUGCACAACAUGAUCAUCGAGAAUGAGCGUGGACAAGAUUUAGACUACUCAUAG
rnacentral:rRNA from 1 species